rnacentral:rRNA from 1 species
CCUACGGGUGGCAGCAGUAGGGAAUAUUGCUCAAUGGGGGAAACCCUGAAGCAGCAACGCCGCGUGGAGGAUGACGGUUUUAGGAUUGUAAACUCCUUUUGUUAGGGAAGAUUAUGACGGUAUCUAAAGAAUAAGCACCGGCUAACUCCGUGCCAGCAGCCGCGGGAAUACGGAGGGUGAAAGCGUUACUCGGACUCACUGGGCGUAAAGAGGGCGUAGGGGGGGUAAUAAGUCAGAUGUGACAUCCUGUAACUUAAAUACAGAACUGCAUUUGAAACUGGUACUCUAGAGUGUGGGAGAGGUAGGUGGAAUUCUUUGUGUAGGGGUAAAAUCCGUAGAGAUCAAGAGGAAUACUCAUUGUGAAGGCGACCUGCUGGAACAUUACUGACGCUGAUGCACGAAAGCGUGGGGAGCAAACAGGAUUAGAUACCCCAGUAGUC